rnacentral:rRNA from 1 species
AUGCAGCUGGACGAUGCAUGUUGCAGGAUCAUAGAUAGUGCAUGCAUUGGUGGUAAUCUUCAUCUACUUUCUGUAUGGAACUGGGAGCGUCUGCCUGUUGGAUGCCCGAAGAGCGUCAAGUUUAAUUCUUGGAAUGAAGAUGACGAAUUACGAUGCCCCACUUGGGCUUACAAGUGGGAUGUGGUAUCCGAGAUGAUGAACGAUGUUAACUCAUGUACCAAAAGUACAUCGCCGAGUUGGACACGAUUACGCCUAAGUAGGUAA